GGUGGCGGCCUGCGUGCGGACCCUGAGCCCGCCGUGACCAGGGCAGCACAGUGCUGUGGAGCUCUGCUGCCUGCGCUCUCCAGGCCCGGGCCUGAUUCUCAGUACAAGCCUGUGGCUCCAGACAUCUUCUAAGGUCCAACAGGCCCUCUGGCAGGGCUUGGCAAGGAUGGCUGACCCGCUGGAGCUCGGUGAGGGCAGACUUCUGGGGAGGCCAGGCCUGGUCAGGGAAGCCCGGUCUGGAGGGGAAGUGGCACCCCAACUUCCAGCGAAAAGGGCCGCCUGUGCUCGGGACCCGACCCUUCAGCCUUGGCCUCUGAAAACCCAAAUCUCCUCCUCUCCUGACAGCAAGUGCUGCAUAGCUUGUGGGGGAAGUGGGGCGAGACAUUGGUCUCUGCAGCUCUGAAACCAAAGCCUCAUUUCAACUUCUCUUCAGUGGAAGUAAAAGAUUGCUGCCCCGACUUGACCCUGUGAAAAGAGACACCCACACCUGAUUUGCCCCAUUUGCCCCGUGGAUGGGAGAGGGCUCUCACCUGUGAGAAGGAAUGGUCCUGGCUCCAGGCCAGCCACCCAGUUCCAGGAACACUCGGACUUCUUGUGUCCAAGUUCAUCUCAGCCUCCUGGCAGCAGAGGGCUCCUGACAUCCCCAUUUACACCCACUCCGUUCCCGCUAAGCAGCGGCUUCCUUGGCGGCAGGAAGACCGCAGCAGCUGCCGGACUGACACCGCCAUAGCUCCGCAGAGGACCCAGAACAACACCCCCG